rnacentral:lncRNA from 1 species
UGUAAGGGUACAUCUGUACUGAACGUGACCGACUCCACAGCUAUUUCUGCUAUCAAGAUUUGCUCCGAUGGGAUAUGGGUAUAACUGUCCCUCCGACCUGAGAUCGCCACGGUGACUUGCAAACAACUCACUGUACUUAGGCACUGGACUACCUGAAUUUAUAAUUUAGUGACGGAAAGCUGCUGGGUGCAGUCAAGUAC